rnacentral:rRNA from 1 species
UACAGAGGUCUCAAGCGUUGUUCGGAUUCAUUGGGCGUAAAGGGUGCGUAGGUGGCGACGUAAGUCGGGUGUGAAAUUUCGGAGCUUAACUCCGAAACUGCAUUCGAUACUGCGGUGCUUGAGGACUGGAGAGGAGACUGGAAUUCAUGGUGUAGCAGUGAAAUGCGUAGAGAUCAUGAGGAAGACCAGUGGCGAAGGCGGGUCUCUGGACAGUUCCUGACACUGAGGCACGAAGGCCAGGGGAGCAAACGGG